CAGAAUUUGAGAUUAAUUAUGCUUUCUUCUUUGUCUUCCCACCUGCCACUUCGCUGUACCAUACUGCUCCCACCCCUCGAGCCUGCAUUAAUACAAAUCUAAGCCCAGUGAUCAAAGAAGAAAAGGCAGUAGUGACAAUAUAUCCCUAAACAUUAAUUAGGAACCACGUGGUCAAUGGCACAUUCCUGCUUGCAGUAAAGGAAGGCUGUCGGGACAUUCAAAACUACCCGUGGGUAUUGCUUCAGACUCCAAAGAAACUCCUCGUCAAGACAGUUCCAAGAACACAGCCACCAAAGUUUCUUCCUUGUCUCAGACCAAAGCCUACUCUGCACAUCCUAGCAAGGCUACAAGAGAAUCACUCCUGCCGAGCGGGCGCAUCCAGGUUGAUGCUAGAGUUAUGCAGAUGCACUGCAUUACUCUGACCUACUCUUUAUCCUGUAACAUUCAACACAGGAAUUUCCAGUCACUCAGUCUUACACAGGACUGAAAUCUCCAGACAUCGAGCUCCUCAAUCUUUUGUGACUCCAGAAGCCACCACUUAAAAGUGGGCACAAGCUGUGGCCUGAGCUCAAGACAUGGAGGAACCUGACAGGAGCCCACCCUUGAGACUUGCAUUUACAGAAACCAGAUCGCAGCUCACACAACGAGAUUCAAUGAAAACACUGUACCCAGGUGCCAUGGAAACUACUCUCCUUCACAAAUUCCCUGUUCUUUUAUUCCAUGAAUGAUUGUUACAAGUCUACAUUGAUGGCAAAGAGUUAUUGGCAUAUUAUGUGAACGUCACGGGACUUCUCACAUGGUUUCAUUCAGCUUCUUUGUUCAAAGAGGAGAAGAUUCUCUGGUACACAGAAGACCAUUGCAGUUACCCGCAGACGAGUUCUGCAAUGAAGUCACUGAAGACACUGUCUUGUAUUUUUCUUCAGAUAUGACGAUUUUAUGGCUUUUUUUCUUAGGAACAACCUGAUUUUUAUGUUAUCAUUAUUUUUUUUUCUUUUAAAAAUUUCACUGAUAUCCUGGACUAUGCCUUUUCACCCCAUUUCUUGAACCUCCAGUUGUAAUUCAUAAAUAUCCUGAGAUCAAAUCCUCCCUGUGUAGCUCCCAGGUACAUUCUUUACAAGGGAACUCAGCUGAAGGGACAGGUUCACCAAGAUAAGUGACUUCAAGUGGUAGCUACAUGCUCUAUGGUCCCCUAUAACCAGCUCUUUUGUCCCAAUCCCCAUGUUAGUUAUUUAUGUGCUAGCUAGAUUAUUUACAGAAAGCCCUACUAUUUUCAAAAAGUAAUGAUUUUGGCUUACUUUCAGGUCUUGUAAAAUGCACACAUCUUUUGUUGCUUUUUCCUCUAUUUCCUUGAGCAUUCUUUAUUUUUGUAAACAAGAUUUCAAGGCUGCAGUCAUGUUUCACUACUGCAGAUAAAUGACACUUUGUAAGGAAGCAAAAGUCGAAAACCUGUCAUGGCAGAUCGUACCAUUCUCUUGCCUUUCCCAGAAUUACCAGUUAUUUUUUAUCCCUACAUGAACCGCUGGCACUACAGACUAGGCUACCUGAGAUUUUGAUGCUGUGUAAUUAUUUUUAUAGCAUCUAUGCAGAGUAGUUCUCCUUACCUGGCUUCCUGCCUGCCAUAGAUACUUCCAUUCCUACGCAGUAACCUCUCUGCUAAGCCCAACAAUUUAAAUCACACCCAAGCACGUUGAGCAUCAGGAAGCUAAAAGCCCACGCUCAAAGGACUGAGGCUGAUGAAGUGACAUACGCCUGCAUGGUUCUGGCAGGUCCCUGCCGAAGUCCCUUGCUGUAGAAGAAAGCAAAGGCACUUGAUCCUGAAUGUCACCAUGUCUGGGGCAAAAGUCAAUCUGAGCAUCAAGCAUCUGAGAAGGGUGGUUCACUAAAUUCCGCUCAAAUCUUUCUGAUGCUAAGGGGAUGCAGGACAAAAGUAAAUCCCAACACACUUUUAGACAAUUAUGCACCUAAGGAAAGAACCCAAAUCUCUUUGAAACACUUGCAAACAGCGAAACGGCCCACCAGGUGUCAUUUUCUCUUGUAAUGGCCAUUAGAGUGCCCUAACAUCAAUUAACUACGUCUAGCUUGCCUAAAGCCCAGUCUGUAAAUAAGCAGCUCGCUUUCAGUUGGUCUAUGCAGAUGACAAGAAGAAAAUGGACUAACACCGUGCUGUUUGGCUGUUGGUGUCCAUCCUGUGCCCUGGACAUCAGCUUUCAGCAUCUCACUGGAUCACGGCCCCCUGCCCACCCCCUGAGCCUCAGGCAGAGCUGGUGAGGAGGAGAGGCAAGAGUCCAGGCAGCAUGACUGUGGUUCUCCUUCCCCUCCAUGGCUCACGGUGGGUACCGCCCAGCCAAGCUGCCACAGCUGGAACAGGGACCUCCACUGUGGCCCACCCCAGUAUCACUGAGCAACCAAGAGAAUUAGUGCUCUUCUGCUCAUCGGCAGGGAGAAAGGCAGGCCACGUCCUGGCCUCAGUGAUUAGAGUAUCACCUCACUAGGGCAUCUGUAUUUAACGGUCAGACUCAGAAAACACUUAAAGGUGGGCUAGGGAAUGACCAAAAAAUGCUUCACAUGUGCAUUUCAGGUAUGAGUCUGCUAAAUUUGCAGUUUCCCUGCCCAUGGACAGUAAGGGGCUGCUUCUGGUGGUGCAUAUUCCCUGUGCCACUGUUCUCUGCAGACAAACACGGGGAAGACAACGUGUCCUGUGAAAUAGCAGCCAAUCUCCCCCCAUCCUGGAUGCCUGCGAGUCUACUUACAAAGCCGGCCAGAAUCCAGAGGAAAACUAUUGGUGUCACCCAACACUAACUGGAUCCAUUUAAAUGAGUAAAAAGAAAGUUACAGCCACAAGAAUGAAUUAUCAAGGGUAAUGGCAGGGCAGAUCUCGAUUUUGAAUCAUUUGUAUUUCUGUCCUUCAGCUCAAACAAUCCCCCCUUGAAAGCUCAAGACAGUACCAAGGACAUAGGAUAGCAGAGAAGAGAACUCAGCUGAACAUGCACAAGCCUGGACUGUCUUCAGAGACCAGCAUUAAUAAUAAAUAAACUGCUCAAUAUACAAA